rnacentral:rRNA from 1 species
CCGUAGAGUUUGAUCCUAGGCUCAGGAUGAACGUCGGCGGCGUGCCUAAUACAUGCAAGUAGAGAGACUGGAUUAAGAGCUUGCUCUUGUGAAGUUAGCUGCGGACUGAUGAGUAACACGUGGGUAACCUGCCCAUAAGACUGGGAUAACUCCGGGAAACCGUGGGUAAUACCGGAUAACAUUCUGAACCGCAUGGUUCGAAAUUGAAAGGCGGCUUCGGCUGUCACUUAUUGAUGGACACGCGUCGCAUUAGCUAGUUGGUGAGGUAACGGCUCACCAAGGCAACGAUGCGUAGCCGACUUGAGAGCGUGAUCGGCCACUCUGGGACUGAGACACGGACCCGAGUCCUACGGUAGGCAGCAGUACGGCAUCUUCCGCUAUUGACGAAAGUCUGACGGUGCAACGCCGCGUGAGUGAUGAAGGCUUUAGGGUCGUAAAAUUCUGUUGUUAGGGAAGAACAAAUGAUAGUCGAAUAAGCUGUCACCUUGACGGUACCUAACCAGAAAGCCACGGCUAAAUACGUGCCAGCACACGCGGUAAUACGUAGGUGGCACGCGUUAUCUCGAAUUAUUGGGCGUAAAGCGCGCGCACGUGGUUUCUUAAGUCUGAUGUGAAAGCCCACGGGUCUCCCGUGGAGGGUCACUGGAAACUGGGAGACUUGAGUGCACAAGAGGAAAGUGGAAUUCCAUGUGUAGCGCUGAAAUGCGUAGAGAUAUGGAGGAACACCAGUGGCGAAGGCGACUUUCUGGUCUGUAACUGACACUGAGGCGCGAAAGCGUGGGGAGCAAACACGAUUAGAUACCCUGGUAGUUCACGCCGUAAACGAUGAGAUGUCUAUAGUGUUAGAGGGUUUCCAGUCCCUUCUAGUGCCUGCAAGUUAACGCAAUUAAGCAUUC